rnacentral:rRNA from 1 species
CACGUAGGGGGCGAGCGUUGUCCGGAAUUACUGGGCGUAAAGGGCGCGCAGGCUGUUAUGCGAGUCUGCUGUGAAAUGUACCGGCUCAACCGGUGCCUUGCGGCGGAUACUGCAUAGCUGGAGUACUGGAGAGGGAAGUGGAAUUCCCGGUGUAGCGGUGAAAUGCGUAGAUACCAGGAGGAACACCGAUGGCGAAGGCAGGUCUCUGGGCAGUAACUGACGCUGAGGAGCGAAAGCAUGGGUAGCGAACAGGAUUA